rnacentral:lncRNA from 1 species
GAUGUGAAAGCUGAGAGACCAGCAAGCACAGUAUGAUUCCUUCCGAAAAGCAACUGGAUCUGGCUCUUUACUGUAAAAGCUGAAGCUGCUGGAGAAAACAUUUCAGAUCAGACAUAGUAGCAAGAAUAGACAAAGGGGAAUCACGUAAUACCGUCUGCACCUCAGAGGAAACAAUUGUCAAAGUUAAGGUAUAGCCUACAGAACGGGAGAAAAUGUUUGCCAGCCAUGCGUCAAACAAGCUAUUAAUACAGAUAUCAGUAUCCACAGCACGUAAAAGAAAACUUAAAUACCAAAAGACAAACGGUUCUCAGAAGAAGUGCAGAUGACCUAAACAUGCACAUAAAUACUCAGCAUCUUUUCUCAUCAAAGAAAUGCAAAGUUACAGUGAGACUCCAUAUCACCCAGUCAAAAUGGCUGUUAUCAAGAGAUCAAAACAGAACAAGUAUUGGCCCAGAGUGUGGGAGAAAGAAAUCCUAAUACACCAUGGAUGGGAAUGUAAAUUACUCCAAUCCUCAUGGGAAUCAGUAUAGCAUCAUCGUUAUUGUGGUGUCAUGCACAAUGCCCAUGUUAUGCAACCGGCUCUGGUGUUCAUCAGUAGAUGAAUGGAUAAAAACAACUGAGAUACAUAUUCAAGAUGGAUUAUUGUUCAGUGGCAAAGAACAAUGGAACCAUAUUGUUUGUAGUACA